AUAUCAAUAAGCGGAGGAAAAGAAACCAACAGGGAUUGCCUCAGUAACGGCGAGUGAAGCGGCAACAGCUCAAAUUUGAAAUCUGGGUCUUUCAGGCUCCGAGUUGUAAUUUGUAGAAGAUGCUUCGGGUGUGGCUCCGGUCUAAGUUCCUUGGAACAGGACGUCAUAGAGGGUGAGAAUCCCGUACGUGACUGGUUGCCUUCGCUCAUGUGAAGCUCUUUCGACGAGUCGAGUUGUUUGGGAAUGCAGCUCAAAAUGGGUGGUAAAUUUCAUCUAAAGCUAAAUAUUGGCCAGAGACCGAUAGCGCACAAGUGGAGUGAUCGAAAGAUGAAAAGCACUUUGGAAAGAGAGUUAAACAGUACGUGAAAUUGUUGAAAGGGAAGCGCUUGCAACCAGACUUGCACGCUGCUGAUCAUCCGGGGUUCUCCCCGGUGCACUCGGUUGCGUUCAGGCCAGCAUCGGUUUGGGUGGUUGGAUAAAGGCCUUGGGAAUGUAGCUUCUUUCGGGGAGUGUUAUAGCCCUCGGUGCAAUGCAGCCUACCUGGACCGAGGACCGCGCUUCGGCUAGGAUGCUGGCGUAAUGGUUGUAAGCGA
rnacentral:rRNA from 1 species